rnacentral:tRNA from 1 species
GGGGUGGUAGCUCAAUUGGGAGAGCGUCGCCCUUGCAAGGCGAAGGCUGGUGGAUCGUAUCCAUCCCACCCCA